AGCAGUCGCCACGGGAAUACGUAGGUGGCAAGCGUUGUCCGGAAUUAUUGGGCGUAAAGGGCUCGCAGGCGGUUUCUUAAGUCUGAUGUGAAAGCCCCCGGCUCAACCGGGGAGGGUCAUUGGAAACUGGGAAACUUGGGUGCAGAAGAGGAGAGUGGAAUUCCACGUGUAGCGGUGAAAUGCGUAGAGAUGUGGAGGAACACCAGUGGCGAAGGCGACUCUCUGGUCUGUAACUGACGCUGAGGAGCGAAAGCGUGGGGAGCGAACAGGAUUAGAUACCCCCGUAGUCCCUGUCUCUUAUAC
rnacentral:rRNA from 1 species